rnacentral:lncRNA from 1 species
CACUCAUUCAUCUCUAAAAAAUUACCUUUUGAUUUCUGACAGUUCAAAUGGGACACAAGUGUACGUCCCAAAUUUAAGAAUUGCUUAUAUGACGAUUGUGGCUCGUCUAAAUCGCCUAUAUAAGGAGGCAUUAAGUGUUUUUCUUCUUUUUACACUUUUGCAAAAAAUUGCUAAGCAAGUACAACUUUCUUUGCAUCUUUUCGACAGUAUUGAGCUUCUUCUUAUCAGGCAACAAACUUUCUUUUUUCUGGUCAAUUUGUUUAGUUUUUGUGAAAGUCAUAAAUUAGUUUCUUUAAGUUUUUUGUUUUCUAAAGUAGUAAAAAUGUCCUUUUCUUCGAAAAAGACAACCAAAAGUAUUUCUUCCAAGGGGGCAGACAUGGCCAUGAUAUGUUCUGAGACUAUUUUACUACUAGUAAUCCCUACCGAGAGAAUUAUGGAGGCAAUGGAGGUUCCUUAUAGUGGUUGGAUAAUGCAGAAGAGCCCAAUCGACUAUAGUAUUAGGUGGAAGGCCUCUUUGUGUUAAAGAAAAUGAACCGGUGUUGUUUUGGUAACGCUUUAGGAUCCUAGAUAACGUGGAGAUGUUUGUUCCAACCUUUGAUGAAUGAGCCUGCUUUCUUAGGGAAGGGUGCGUUGAGGUUAUUGAGGAGAUUCUCUAUGCCAACAUGAGGUUGCAUUUGCACCCAUUUUUAGAUUCCUACUUGGGGUAAUACAAUCAAAAGCCCACUCAACUUCUUCCUUAUGCAUGAAGCCAAUUGUCGAUGGGCCUUUCUUCUUUGGAAAUAGGUAAUUCUUGGUGAGAAUAUGCCUUUUCAUAUAUUUCUAAGCGUUUUCCUACAUCAAGCCUCUAGUAGGGAAAAUAUUUCAAGGGAAGAUAUUGUAUGAACCCCUGAGAAUCAUAUUCAUCCUUCAUAUAAAGUACUUCGACUUGUAUUAGGACUGGAAAUUAUCUUGGUUCUAG